GACGAACGCUGGCGGCGUGCUUUACACAUGCAAGUCGAACGGUGAAGGUGGAGCUUGCUCCGCCGGAUCAGUGGCGAACGGGUGAGUAACACGUGGGCAACCUGCCCCUAACUUUGGGAUAACUACUCGAAAGAGUAGCUAAUACCGGAUAUGAAGUCUGUAGGCAUCUAUGGAUUUGGAAAGUUUUUCGGUUAGGGAUGGGCCCGCGGCCUAUCAGCUUGUUGGUGAGGUAGUGGCUCACCAAGGCGACGACGGGUAGCCGGCCUGAGAGGGCGACCGGCCACACUGGGACGGAGACACGGCCCAGACUCCUACGGGAGGCAGCAGUGGGGAAUAUUGCGCAAUGGGCGAAAGCCUGACGCAGCAACGCCGCGUGCGGGAUGAAGGCCUUCGGGUUGUAAACCUCUUUUAGUAGGGAAGAAGCGAAAGUGACGGUACCUGCAGAAAAAGCACCGGCUAACUACGUGCCAGCCGCCGCUGUAA
rnacentral:rRNA from 1 species